GUGCCAGCCGCCGCGGUAAUACGAAGGGGGCGAGCGUUGUUCGGAAUCACUGGGCGUAAAGCGCACGUAGGCGGAUCGUUAAGUCAGGGGUGAAAUCCUGGAGCUCAACUCCAGAACUGCCUUUGAUACUGGCGAUCUUGAGUCCGGAAGAGGUGAGUGGAACUCCUAGUGUAGAGGUGAAAUUCGUAGAUAUUCGGCGGAACACCAGUGGCGAAGGCGACUCACUGGCCCGAUACUGACGCUGAGGCGCGAAAGCGUGGGGAGCAAACAGGAUUAGAUACCCGUGUAGUCC
rnacentral:rRNA from 1 species